rnacentral:rRNA from 1 species
UGGAUUUAGCGGCGGACGGGUGAGUAAUGCUUAGGAAUCUGCCUAUUAGUGGGGGACAACGUUUCGAAAGGAACGCUAAUACCGCAUACGUCCUACGGGAGAAAGCAGGGGAUCUUUGGACCUUGCGCUAAUAGAUGAGCCUAAGUCGGAUUAGCUAGUUGGUGGGGUAAAGGCCUACCAAGGCGACGAUCUGUAGCGGGUCUGAGAGGAUGAUCCGCCACACUGGGACUGAGACACGGCCCAGACUCCUACGGGAGGCAGCAGUGGGGAAUAUUGGACAAUGGGGGGAACCCUGAUCCAGCCAUGCCGCGUGUGUGAAGAAGGCCUUUUGGUUGUAAAGCACUUUAAGCGAGGAGGAGGCUUCUUUGGUUAAUACCCAAAGUAAGUGGACGUUACUCGCAGAAUAAGCACCGGCUAACUCUGUGCCAGCAGCCGCGGUAAUACAGAGGGUGCAAGCGUUAAUCGGAUUUACUGGGCGUAAAGCGUGCGUAGGCGGCUAAUUAAGUCAAAUGUGAAAUCCCCGAGCUUAACUUGGGAAUUGCAUUC